GACGAACGCUGGCGGCGUGCUUAACACAUGCCAGUCGAACGGAAAGGCCCUGCUUUUGUGGGGUUCUCGCGUGGCGCACGGGUGUGUAACACGUGAGUAUCCUGCCCUUGACUUUGGGAUAACUUCAGGAAACUGCGGCUAAUACCGGAUAGGAGCUCCUGCUGCAUGGUGGGGGUUGGAAAGUUUCGGCGGGUGGGGAUCGACUCGCGGCUUAUCAGCUUGUUGGUGGAGUAGUGGCUUACCAAGCGUUCGACGGGUAGCCGGCCUGAGAGGGGGGACGGGGACAAGGGGACUGAGAGAGGGCGCAGAAGCCAACGGGAGGCAGUAGGGGGGAGUAUUGCACAAUGGGGGGAAGCGUGAGGCAGAAGCGCUGGGUGCGGGAUGACGGCCUACGGGGGGUAAACCGCUUUCGCCUGUGACGAAGCGGGAGUGACGGUAAUGGGUAAAGAAGCACCGGCUAACUACGUG
rnacentral:rRNA from 1 species